AGUCCUGUUUAUAUACAGAAAUAUGCUUUAGUUCAUGUUUUUUUACAUGUCUGCCUCAGUGGAUCAGUAGAAGAUCUGGCACAGGAAACUAGAUGAUGAAAAAAGGGGCGGAACUCAUGGUGGGUUCACGCCCUCGGCCCACGCCCCUCUGAAGAGGAAACACCUGGGCCUCAUCAGUGCAGCCAGCAUUUAAGCCAGGGAGUGGCUUCUACUCAUCGCUGGAUCGUUGUGUGUGACUCGCGUCAGUGCUCUGAGCAAGUUCUCUUUUGCUUCCCUGUGCAAAACCUCUAACGUGUGUUUCCUUCUGUACAUAGAUCCCCUGGACCCGACUCUGCAUUCCCCGAGCGGAUUCCCUUUUUGUGUGAGUGUUUGGAGAGAGAGUCAGAAGAGGAGCAAGUGUCUUUCCCCUACCUGGAUUUCCCCGGAGCCUUUUCCCUGUCACCGCUUUGUAUAUAGCACUAUCCCCUGCACUGUUUGUAUAUACACCUGGUGGAACUGUAAUAAAUACUGACUGUGCCUCUGA